rnacentral:rRNA from 1 species
GACGAACGCUGGCGGCGUGCCUAAUACAUGCAAGUCGAGCGCAGGAAACUGACGGAACUCUUCGGAGGGAAGGCAGUGGAAUGAGCGGCGGACGGGUGAGUAACACGUAAGGAACCUGCCUCAAGGAUUGGGAUAACUCCGAGAAAUCGGAGCUAAUACCGGAUAGUUCAACGGACCACAUGGUCCGCUGAUGAAAGGCGCUCCGGCGUCACCUUGAGAUGGCCUUGCGGUGCAUUAGCUAGUUGGGGGGGUAACGGCCCACCAAGGCGACGAUGCAUAGCCGACCUGAGAGGGUGAUCGGCCACACGAGGACUGAGACACGGCCCAGACUCCUACGGGAGGCAGCAGUAGGGAAUCUUCCACAAUGGACGAAAGUCUGAUGGAGCAACGCCGCGUGAGUGAUGAAGGUUUUCGGAUCGUAAAACUCUGUUGUAAGGGAAGAACACGUACGAGAGGGAAUGCUCGUACCUUGACGGUACCUUACGAGAAAGCCACGGCUAACUACGUGCCAGCCGCCGCCGUAAUAC